rnacentral:rRNA from 1 species
UACGUAGGGUCCGAGCGUUGUCCGGAAUUAUUGGGCGUAAAGGGCUCGUAGGCGGUUUGUUACGUUGUGAGUGAAAACUCAGGGCUCAACCCUGAGCGUGCUUCCGAUACGGGCAGACUAGAGGUAUGCAGGGGAGAACGGAAUUCCUGGUGUAGCGGUGGAAUGCGCAGAUAUCAGGAGGAACACCGGUGGCGAAGGCGGUUCUCUGGGCAUUACCUGACGCUGAGGAGCGAAAGCAUGGGGAGCGAACAGG